GAAUAUUGCGCAAUGGACGAAAGUCUGACGCAGCAACGCCGCGUGAGGGAUGACGGCCUUCGGGUUGUAAACCUCUUUCAGCAGGGACGAAGCGAGAGUGACGGUACCUGCAGAAGAAGGACCGGCCAACUACGUGCCAGCAGCCGCGGUAAUACGUAGGGUCCGAGCGUUGUCCGGAAUUAUUGGGCGUAAAGGGCUCGUAGGCGGUUCGUCACGUCGGGAGUGAAAACUCGGAGCUUAACUCCGAGCCUGCUUCCGAUACGGGCAGACUAGAGGUAGGCAGGGGAGAGCGGAACUCCUGGUGUAGCGGUGGAAUGCGCAGAUAUCAGGAAGAACACCGGUGGCGAAGGCGGCUCUCUGGGCCUUACCUGACGCUGAGGAGCGAAAGCGUGGGUAGCGAACAGG
rnacentral:rRNA from 1 species